AAAGUCGUAACAAGGUUUCCGUAGGUGAACCUGCGGAAGGAUCAUUAUCGUGGGGCUUCGGCCCCGUCGAGAUAGCACCCUUGCCUUUAUGAGUACCUUGGUUCCCUCCCCCGUACCCUCGGGGAGCGGGAGGGACCUCGUCUGUUUCCCCGCGGCGGCGAGAGCCCCCGGGGACCGCAAAAACACGCUGUAAACACCUGUAACCGUCUGAUAAACAAACAAAAAAAAAAUCAAAACUUUCAACAACGGAUCUCUUGGUUCUG
rnacentral:misc_RNA from 1 species